GCUGACUGUGCCCAGCCCUGCAGAAAGGCAUCGGGCACCUGGUACCUGUGCAGGCUUUGGCAGAGCAAGGGUUCCAGAACCCGAGCCCAGGCGGCAGCCUGCCCCUGGCCCAGCGGAAGGAAGUCCACGUCCCGCUCACUCGGCAGUUCUGGCAGUCCGGUCCCGAAGCCACCCACAGCGAUGAUGUUUUUGUCUGCGAGCUGGACUUUGAUGGACAGCCUGCACUGAGCACAGAAGGUUCCCAUUUUCCGUGGGGUGGGCAGGCGGGACAGGAAGUGGGGAGGCGCUGGGAGGGUAAGAUCCAGAGCCUGUGGCCAGCAGGCGAGCCCAGAAGGUGCCAGAAACCCGAGGUGGAUGCACAAGUGGCCAAUGAAGGACAAGGGGACCUUGUUUAAGACCCAGGGCCUUGGCAUCUCUGCCGAAAAGGGCUGUGAGGCCCAGGCCUGGGAAGUAGCCCAGGCUGCUGAGCAGAGAUGUGCGAGUCCGCCAUGCCCUGCUCAGAGCUGCGGCUCGCAUUUGGAGGAGAGUUGCGUUAUGGAUGCCAGGAGAGGCCAGUCUGGGGCCGGGCGCCCUGUCUAAGUCAAUUCUGUGGCUCCGUGGCCAGUCUCCUGCUUGCCCCUCAUCUCUGUCCCCACUCUACUUUUGGCCCUUUUCCCUGGAUCGUCACCCUUGGGACCUUGUGGAGCAGGGCUGGGACCCACGUGGACAUCCACAGCAGUAGGGGGCAGCUCCUGCCCACGUCUCUGCAGCCUGUCUUGGAAGAUGCUGUGGAAACAGCACUAACAACCCUCAGCCUGGGGGGCUCUCGUGGGGACUUGCUGAGGCUUCCUAGUAGCAGGGAAAUGUGUGCUCUGCCGGCAGCCAAUGUAAAACCGCUGGAGGGCAGACAGCUGACCCCAGCUGCCCCACCCCACAGGCCACCAGGGCACUUGACCCAGGGGCUCAGAAGGCCCUGAGAGAGCCCUGGGUUUGGAAGCAAGUCUCAAGUCCCAGAGCUGCAGGGUGUGAUUUCAUGGUGUAACUUUGCUGGUGUUUUCUAGGAUUAUCAUUAGAGUUAUCCCCCAGUGUCGUGGGGAAUUGGUUCCAGGACCCUCUACAGAUACCAAACUCUGAGGAUGCCCCCGUCCCUUGCAUAGAACCUACUACAUACAUCUUCCCAUAUACUUUAAAUUGUCUCUAGAGACUUGUAAUGCUUCUUAUAAUGUAAAUGCUCUGUCAUGCUCUAUUGUUUAGGGACUACUGACAAGAAAAAGAAGUUCCUA